CCGUAGCUCAGUGGAUAGAGCGUCGGUUUCCUAAACCGCAGGUCGAAGGUUCGACUCCUUUCGGGG
rnacentral:tRNA from 1 species